rnacentral:rRNA from 1 species
GACGAACGCUGGCGGCGUGCUUUACACAUGCAAGUCGAACGGAAAGGCCCUGCUUGCCUGGUUCUCGAGUGGCGCACGGGUGAGUAACACGUGUGUGUUCUCCCCUGCACUUCGGGAUAUGCUUGUGCCACUGGGUCUAUUACCGCAUAUGAGCCAUCUUUAGUGUGUUGGUUUGACAGUUUUUUCGGUGUAGGAUGCGCUCGCGGCCUAUCAGCUUGUUGGUGGGGUAAUGGCCUACCAAGGCGGCGACGGAUAGGCGGCCGGGGAGGGUGUACGGCCACAUUGGGAAUGGGAUACGGGGCAGGCUCCUACGGGGGGCAGCAGGGGGGGAUAUUGCGCAAUGGGCGGAAGGCUGAUGCGGCGGAGCCGCGUGGGGGAUGAAGGCCUUCGGGGUGUAAACGCCUUUCGCUAGGGACGAAGCUUGUUUGGGAGGGUGACUAGAUGAGGAGCACCGGGUAAAGACGGU